rnacentral:lncRNA from 1 species
AAAAGCGUAGGCGAGCAGCUGGCAGCCACCAUCGCAUUUGCUCCCGGAAGGCAAGAGGAGGCAGAGAAAAUUCCAGAACCCAUUUAAGCGUCUGGGACCCUGAGGGUGUCACAGGGUGUCCAGGGAACCUGAUCGGCAGAUCACACGGGCGGUUUCCUGCCAGGUCACUGCUUACCAGUCCCUACUCUCCAGCCUGAGAAGCCAGCCGGGAUGACCAGACAUCUGAGAGAUUCCUCUGAUGUGGAAGAGAGAGACAAAACAAACAGAAAAAGGACAACUGGAAGGAAACAGAGACUGUUCUGCGAGAAGACAGCUUGGAAAAAACUGUCAUUAAUAUAUUCAAGAAGGAAAGAUAAAAUUUUGUAUUUAUGAAAAAAGAACUAGGUGCCAUAAAGAAAGAACAUUUGGAGAAUAUAAAGAGCACUUGGAAAUUAAAAAUAGGAUCAUGGAAAUUGAAAACUCAGUAGAAGAGUUGGAAGAUAAGAUUGAGGAAAUUUUAUAGAAAUUAGAGCAAAAAGUUGAAAAUAAAGCCCUUGCAGUGGUGCAUGCCUGUCGUCCAAGCUACUCAGGAGACCAGGGUGGGAGGAUCACUUGAGUCCAGAAGUUCGAGACCAGCCUGUGCAACAUAGCAAGAUCCUGUCUCAAAAAAAAAAAAAAAAAAAAAAAAGUUGAAAAAGAAAAAAGUUGAAAAUGAGAGAAAAAAAGGAAUUGAAGGACCAGUCUGGGA